rnacentral:rRNA from 1 species
GGGCCCGCACAAGCGGUGGAGUAUGUGGUUUAAUUCGAUGCAACGCGAAGAACCUUACCAGGGUUUGACAUCCUGCGAAUCUCUUGGAAACGAGAGAGUGCCUUCGGGAACGCAGUGACAGGUGGUGCAUGGCUGUCGUCAGCUCGUGUCGUGAGAUGUUGGGUUAAGUCCCGCAACGAGCGCAACCCACGUCGUUAGUUGCCAGCAUUUAGUUGGGCACUCUAGCGAGACCGCCGGUGAUAAACCGGAGGAAGGUGUGGAUGACGUCAAGUCAUCAUGCCCCUUACAUCCUGGGCUACACACGUACUACAAUGGUAGGGACAGAGAGCAGCCACUACGCGAGUAGGAGCG